AAUAGAUACCCAGGUAGUCCACGCCGUAAACGAUGAGUGCUAAGUGUUAGAGGGUUUCCGCCCUUUAGUGCUGCAGCUAACGCAUUAAGCACUCCGCCUGGGGAGUACGGCCGCAAGGCUGAAACUCAAAGGAAUUGACGGGGGCCCGCACAAGCGGUGGAGCAUGUGGUUUAAUUCGAAGCAACGCGAAGAACCUUACCAGGUCUUGACAUCCUCUGCCAACCCUAGAGAUAGGGCGUUCCCCUUCGGGGGACAGAGUGACAGGUGGUGCAUGGUUGUCGUCAGCUCGUGUCGUGAGAUGUUGGGUUAAGUCCCGCAACGAGCGCAACCCUUGAUCUUAGUUGCCAGCAUUCAGUUGGGCACUCUAAGGUGACUGCCGGUGACAAACCGGAGGAAGGUGGGGAUGACGUCAAAUCAUCAUGCCCCUUAUGACCUGGGCUACACACGUGCUACAAUGGAUGGUACAAAGAGCUGCGAACCCGCGAGGGUAAGCGAAUCUCAUAAAGCCAUUCUCAGUUCGGAUUGUAGGC
rnacentral:rRNA from 1 species